GACGAACGCUGGCGGCGUGCUUAACACAUGCAAGUCGAACGGUGAAGCGCCUUCCUUUUUGGUGGGUGUGGAUGAGUGGCGAACGGGUGAGUAACACGUGAGUAACCUGCCCCCUUCUUCUGGAUAACCGCAUGAAAGUGUGGCUAAUACGGGAUAUUCUGGGUCUGUCGCAUGAUGGGUCUGGGAAAGAUAUUGUUUCGGUGGGGGAUGGGCUCGCGGCCUAUCAGCUUGUUGGUGGGGUGAUGGCCUACCAAGGCGGUGACGGGUAGCCGGCCUGAGAGGGUGGACGGUCACACUGGGACUGAGACACGGCCCAGACUCCUACGGGAGGCAGCAGUGGGGAAUAUUGCACAAUGGGCGCAAGCCUGAUGCAGCGACGCCGCGUGAGGGAUGGAGGCCUUCGGGUUGUGAACCUCUUUCGCCAGAGAAGCAGGCCUGCCUCGUUUGUGGGUGGGUUGACGGUAGCUGGAUAAGAAGCGCCGGCUAACUACGU
rnacentral:rRNA from 1 species